UUCGGCCUACGGGAGGCAGCAGUGAGGAAUAUUGGUCAAUGGGCGCGAGCCUGAACCAGCCAAGUCGCGUGAGGGAAGACGGUCCUAUAGAUUGUAAACCUCUUUUGUCGGGGAGCAAAAGACGCCACGUGUGGCGUUCCGAGAGUACCCGAAGAAAAAGCAUCGGCUAACUCCGUGCCAGCAGCCGCGGUAAUACGGAGGAUGCGAGCGUUAUCCGAAUUUAUUGGGUUUAAAGGGUGCGUAGGCGGGAUGCCAAGUCAGCGGUAAAAAUGCGGUGCUCCACGCCGUCGAGCCGUUGAACAUGG
rnacentral:rRNA from 1 species